UGUGGUCAUCUGUUGAGUAUCCUUACGGGCUUUUCACAGAUGGCCUUCGUUUAACACGAAAAAUAGGAGUGUGCCAAUGGCCCGUAUAGCCGGCAUUAACAUUCCUGAU
rfam:Agarivorans albus MKT 106 DNA, contig: contig00015.